CACAAAUGAAGGGGACUUCAUUGGUGUCCAUCUGUAUUGUCUUUGGUUUAUAUUGUAUAAGUUGUUUUCUCUUUAAUCUUCCAACUUCUUCUAAAUCUUGGUUCAAAGAUAUUUCAUUGUACCCCUUUUCCAAAAACUGCCGUUUAAUAUAAGUGGCCUGUUUUAAAUAAUCACUAUCUAAUUUGCAGUUCCGUCGAAUCCUUAGAAAUUGACUUCUUGGAGCAUUGUGGAGCCAAGGUUUAUGAUGGCAGCUAUUAGUAUUUAUGUAGCUGUUUGCAUCAACUGGUUUAAAAUAAUUACUGGUAACUAUCGUCGCAUCUUCGAUCCUGAUGUUAAGAUCUAAAAAAUGAAUGUUGGAUGCACUAUUGUUGCAAGUAAGAUGAAUUCCAUAAUCAUUGGUAUUUAACUGGGUAAUAAAUGAUUGUAAGUCUUCUAUGGUGCCAGUCCAAAUAAAAAAGAUAUCGUCUAUGAAGCGGCAAUAGGACACCAAACUCGCCCCCCACACAUGGUUUGAUAAUACCCAUGUUUCUUCCCAAAAUGCCAUAAAGAGAUUGGCAUAACUCGGGGCGAAUUUGGUGCCCAUCGCCGUCCCACAGAUUUGUAGAUAAAACGUAUUUUCGAGCCAAAAAUAAUUAUGGGAUAAAAUUAGUAAAAUUCCUUCUAAAAUAUAUUGAAUCUGUUCUUCUUUAAAAUUAGAUUUGGUUAAAAAAUGUUUUACUGCUGCUAUUCCCUUGUCAUGAGGUAUAAUACUAUACAUUGUAGUGACAUCGCAUGUAACUAAUGUAUUGCCCUCUGUCCAUUUAGUUUCUUCUAAAAUUUGUAAAAUAUGAAUGGUAUCUUUAAGAUAUGUUGGAUUUUUUAUCACAAUCGGCUGAAGAAUGGUAUCGAUAUAUUCAGAGAUCCUAGUGGAGAUUGAGUCUAUCCCCGAUAUAAUUGGUCUUCCUGGGGGGUUAGUAAUAUUUUUAUGGAUUUUAGGUAAUAAGUAAAAAACCGGUAUUUUUGGGUUAUCUAUCCACAAGUAAUUUGCUUCCUUUUCAGUAAGGAUUCCUAAAGUUUUUCCUUUUUCCACAUACUGUUUGAAAAUCUCCAUAGUAGCAUUAGUGGGAUUAUAUGUCAGUUUCUGGUAAGUUGAAGAAUCUGAAAGUAUUCUAUUUGCUUCCUUAAUGUAUGCCUCUUUGUCAAGAAUAACGGUUCCUCCACCCUUGUCCGCGGGCUUGAUUACUAAUUGAUCAUUAUUUUUAAUGACGUUUAAGGCUUUUUUUUCCCCUAUUGAUAAGUUGUGUUUAUAUUUAUUGGUUCUCUUGAGUUUCUCUACAUCCUUCAUCACCAUAGUUUCAAAAGUUUGAACAGCAUCCGAAAUUAGAUGUCUUGGGAAGAAUUGUGAUUUUGGCCUAAGCUGUCUAUGAAAAUAUUCAUUGUCAUGUUCUUCU